AUACGUAGGGCGCAAGCGUUGUCCGGAGUUAUUGGGCGUAAAGAGCUCGUAGGCGGUCAGUCGCGUCUGCUGUGAAAACCCGAGGCUCAACCUCGGGCCUGCAGUGGGUACGGGCUGACUAGAGUGCGGUAGGGGAGACUGGAAUUCCUGGUGUAGCGGUGGAAUGCGCAGAUAUCAGGAGGAACACCGAUGGCGAAGGCAGGUCUCUGGGCCGCAACUGACGCUGAGGAGCGAAAGCAUGGGGAGCGAACAGGAUUAGAUACCCUGGUAGUCCAUGCCGUAAACGUUGGGCACUAGGUGUGGGACUCAUUCCACGAGUUCCGUGCCGCAGCUAACGCAUUAAGUGCCCCGCCUGGGGAGUACGGCCGCAAGGCUAAA
rnacentral:rRNA from 1 species